rnacentral:lncRNA from 1 species
AUGAAAAUGAUGGAAGAUAACAAAAGAGUUGGCAGGCUUCUGGACGUGUCCAGGCCUCGGCCCAACCACGGCGGUGAGGCGACCGAGGAGCCGGGCUUAACCCAGGGCCCAGGAGCGCCCCAGCCCUGCCCCGGGCCUGGGUGUCCCCCUAAGGUUUUAUUCGUUUAUUUGCUGAUUUUUAAUGCACUAGAGGCACGUGCUGCAGUCCACGACCUCUUUACCUCCCCCUCCCUUGCCCUGUUGCCGAAGCCUCCCUUUGCCCAGUUUAUGUCUGUCUUAGGCCUCACAGAACAAAAGGGAUUUGGGGUUGAUGCAGCUCAGCCAAGAGAGAAAAUGGGAAAGAGAAGGGAACCCAUGCAGCCAGAAAAGGAGAGAUGAAGCAGGUGAAAGAGCUGCGCACAAGAAGGAGGUGGUUUCCACCCCAUCAGGAGAGGCUUUGUUGGGGGGUCUGGGGGGCUCAGGGGUUGAGCACCUGCCUUGGGCCCAGGGCGUGACCCUGGGGGCCCGGGAUUGAGUCCCAUGUGGGGCCUCCUGCAUGGGGCCUGCUUCUCCCUGUGCCUGGGUCUCUGCCUCUCUCUCUGGCUCUCUCAGGAAUAAAUAAAUACAAUCAUGAAAAGAGAGAGAGAGAGUGUGAGUAAUGAGAGGCGGAUCACACUGUCCCCCCUACUUUUCCCAGGGCCCCCCUUCUCCCCUUCUCCUGUUUCACCCCCGCGGCUCAGUCGCCCAUUUCUGGUCUGCACCUAAUUUCCUGUGUGUCUGAGCCCCUCAUGGGUCUCUGGUCCCCUCUGGCCGGCCUCCCCGCAGAACCUGGGCUCCCCUGGGCCUCCGCAGGGGCCCCGCAGGCAGCCCUGGGCAUCUCCAUCCCCGCCUCUGCAGAAAUAGCACCCCUGGGCUCUGGCCGUCCAGGCCCAGGACUGCUCUGGCCCCCCUAAUUGGCCCUUUAAGUGCAGAAUUUAGCUUUUAUCACCUUUUCCCACAGACUCUGCUGCCGCGUCUGGGGAUUGGAGAACUUGCGUGCAUUUGUGGUGCCACUUUCGAACUCAAAUGCGAGGUCCAGGUAUAUGGUGUUUUUUUUUUUUAAACAAAUGGACUCACUAAAGAGGAGGAUUCAAAAUUACUGUAAAAAUUAUGAGGCCUCUAGUAAACAUACGCUGUUCGCUGCUCAAAAUUUAGAGCACGAAUAUGAGCAAACAAAAAUAAAAAAAUCACUGCCAACUCCACUCCUCAGACGUAGUCUCUUAGCAUUUCGGCGUAUCAUCCCCCAGGCCUCUGUAGGAGCUAAACAUGCGUAGGUUUACACAUGUGCAUCAGUCACAGUUUGAUCAGAGAAGCGCAACUAUUUGGGGAUAGACAUAAAAUAAGGGAUUUGACCUUUCUCAAGCAUGACAGCUAAAUUCUCUCUCUAUGCUGUUGCUUUCCUAUGUGGUGCUGGAGUCAGAAGACCUUUAUCAAGCUAGAUACGAUCUCUCAACCUCGAUUAUUUCAUUUGCAAAGCAGAAAUAUUACUUACCUAAGAGGGUUAUUCAAUAUUAAUGUCAUUAUUAAACAAAGUGAUAAUGUGUUUCAUCAUAGUUCCUCGUUUGCAGAAAGGACUCGUCAGUUUUAUCAAUAAUUAUUAUUAAUGAUUAUGUUGGUUACAUUUGCCAUCAUCCAGACGCCGGCUCUGGACUAGUAAUGUGGCUUUUUUGAUGCUCAGUUGCAUCACCUGUAAAACGGAGCCUUAAUACUUACUUCCAAGUACUAUUGUGAGAACUGAAUGAGAAAAUACUAAAAUACUGUCCCUAAAAAUACUUGGGACAGAGUCUUGCGUGAAGAGAGCACCCCGCGAAGGUCUACCGUUCUCCUAACGCCAAGACUGCAUUGGCUUUCAUGAGUCGCACUGCCGUGUCGUUGUCUCAUGUGGAGCCUUUGUCCUUGACGUCCUUGGAGCGCCACCUGCACCGUGAAAUAUCUCUGCUAUUCUAUACCUGAAAAAUAUUGUUUAUCAUGCUCAGUAUGGGGUUUUAUAUCUUAUCUUUAUUCCUUUCCAUUGCAACGACUUUCUAUUCUAUACCUCAGAACACCUAGAUUUCUUUCAAGCUUGAUUCUGAGUCCAACAGACUAUUCUCCCUUAAUUUUUCACGCUCCCUAUGAAUUGAGCUAAGAUAUUAGGUUGAGUAUUGUAAUACUCGGUUUUUGUAAGUAAAAAACGGUUACACAUUGGCUGUUGCAUAUGGUUCAACUGAAUGUUUAUUACAAAGUUGAAUAGAACUAAGGAUGUGAAUGUGAACUAACUCUUUAUUAGUAGUUUUGACCUUUUUUUGCGUCAUGCGUCUCUGAGACUAUUGUGGCACUAUUUAUGACGAAAAAAUGAAAGCUAUUUAUUUCCUAUUGUGGAAAUUGCAUUGGAUAUUAAUUUCCUUCAUGGAGAUAGAAUACAAAACAAAUUUUCUAAAAGAAAAAAGGCCUCUCUUAUUUUCAACUUUAUUUUUUUUUUUAAAGAUUUUUAUUUAUUCCUGAGAGAGAGAGAGAGAGAGACAGAGACAGAGACACAGGCAGAGGGAGAAGCAGGCUCCAUGCAGGGAGCCCAAUGCCGGACUCGAUCGCAGGAUCCCGGGAUCACACCCUGAGCCGAAGGCAGACGUCCAACCUCUGAGCCACCCAGGCGGCCUUUAUUUUCAACUUUAAUGUGAAAAAUGGUACUUGCUUAAAAAAUUAUAGCAACAUAAAUUGUGUAUGAAACUAAAAUGCAAACUUAAAUCAUGUUUAAAUUUCAAUGAGAACACAGGUUUUUGUUUGUUUGUUUGUUUGUUUUUGGUUUUGAAUAUGAAGUAAACAUUGUGGAGCGAACUUACAUGGCUGUGAAAAUCUAUCUUUUGACAGUCCUUUCUGAGUUUUCAUUUCUUUGCCUACAAAUGCUGGCAACCCUGACAGACAAAUGCCUGGC